GACGAACGCUGGCGGCGUGCUUAACACAUGCAAGUCGAACGGUGAAGCGCCUUCCUUUUUGGUGGGUGUGGAUGAGUGGCGAACGGGUGAGUAACACGUGAGUAACCUGCCCCCUUCUUCUGGAUAACCGCAUGAAAGUGUGGCUAAUACGGGAUAUUCUGGGUCUGUCGCAUGAUGGGUCUGGGAAAGAUAUUGUUUCGGUGGGGGAUGGGUUCGCGGCCUAUCAGCUUGUUGGUGGGGUGAUGGCCUACCAAGGCGGUGACGGGUAGCCGGCCUGAGAGGGUGGACGGUCACACUGGGACUGAGACACGGCCCAGACUCCUACGGGAGGCAGCAGUGGGGAAUAUUGCACAAUGGGCGCAAGCCUGAUGCAGCGACGCCGCGUGAGGGAUGGAGGCCUUCGGGUUGUGAACCUCUUUCGCCAGUGAAGCAGGCCUGCCUCGUUUGUGGGUGGGUUGACGGUAGCUGGAUAAGAAGCGCCGGCUAACUACGUG
rnacentral:rRNA from 1 species